GCCUGGGUGGCUCAGUCAGUUGAGCAUCUGACUUCAGCUCAGGUCAUGAUCUCACAGUUUGUGAGUUCGAGCCCCAUGUCGGGUU
rnacentral:tRNA from 1 species